rnacentral:rRNA from 1 species
AUGUGGACGAGGCAAAGGUCUCCGGCAAUGGUGCUAGCCUCUGCAAAACGGCGGCGGCGUGACACAAGUCAGGUGAGAGAGAGAGAAGAAAUGAAGAAGGAAAAUAGAGGCAUGGCGACGCGAGGACUUGACAGGGGAAGCCGGUCUAACGAGGAGGCCGGGGACGACUCGUUCUGGCCGGAGCCGAGGCGUGGAACGAGGCAGGAUGAAGCUUCAUGUUCGGGCGGCCAUGGCGGGGAGGCGCUCCGGGAAGAAGAUGGCCGCGGGCGGAGGCGACCUCCGGUGAUGCGGGAGAGGCGAGGGAGGCCGGACGGAGCAACGGAUCCAGGCGAUGGGGCGGUGGUGAAGCUCCUAGGCCAUGGCGGGCUCCUUCGGUUCUCUGUCCGAAACGAGACAGAGAGAUAG